CGGAGGGGCUAGCGUUGUUCGGAAUUACUGGGCGUAAAGGGCGCGCAGGCGGCUGCUCAAGUCAGGCGUGAAAGGCCUGGGCUCAACCCGGGAAUUGCGCUUGAGACUGGGCUGGCUUGAGUGCGGGAGAGGAUGGUGGAAUUCCCAGUGUAGAGGUGAAAUUCGUAGAUAUUGGGAAGAACACCGGUGGCGAAGGCGGCCAUCUGGACCGCAACUGACGCUGAGGCGCGAAAGCGUGGGGAGCAAACAGGAUUAGAUACCCUGGUAGUCCACGCCGUAAACGAUGAGCGCUAGACGUUGGGGAGCCUAGCUUUCCGGUGUCGCAGCUAACGCAUUAAGCACUCCGCCUGGGGAGUACGGCCGCAAGGUUA
rnacentral:rRNA from 1 species